UAUGAACGGCCCCACGAGGGCUAUGCUGUCUCCCCCCUCCAAUCAGUGAAACUGAUCCCCUCGUGAAGAAGCGAGGAUGCCCACAUAAGACGAGAAGACCCCAUGGAACUUUAAACUAGUAUUAC
rnacentral:rRNA from 1 species